AGAGUUUGAUCCUGGCUCAGGGCGACCGCUGGCGGCAUGCCUAAUACAUGCAAGUCGAACGAGCUGACGGAGUGCUUGCACUCCCGACGCGAGUGGCGGACGGGUGAGUAACACGUGGGAAACCUACCCGUAAGUAGGGGAUAACAUUCGGAAACGGAUGCUAAUACCCUAUAGGUUUCAGUUCCGCAUGGAACUGAAAGGAAAGACGGCUCUGCUGUCGCUUACAGAUGGUCCCGCGGCGCAUUAGCUAGUUGGUGGGAUAAAAGUUCACCAAGGCUGUGAUGCGUAGCCGACCUGAGAGGGUAACCGGCCACACUGGGACUGAGACACGGCCCAGACUCCUACGGGAGGCAGCAGUAGGGAAUCUUCCGCAAUGGACGAAAGUCUGACGGAGCAAUGCCGCGUGAAUGAAGAAGGUCUUCGGAUCGUAAAAUUCUGUUGUUAGAGAAGAACAAGGAGUAACUAACUACUACUCCCUUGACGGUAUCUAACCAGAAAGCCACGGCUAACUACGUGCCAGCAGCCGCGGUAAUACGUAGGUGGCAAGCGUUGUCCGGAUUUAUUGGGCGUAAAGGGAGCGCAGGCGGUGACUUAAGUCUGAUGUGAAAGCCCACGGCUCAACCGUGGAAGGUCAUUGGAAACUGGGUCACUUGAAUAUAGAAGAGAAAGUGGAAUUCCAUGUGUAGCGGUGAAAUGCGUAGAUAUAUGGAGGAACACCAGUGGCGAAGGCGACUUUCUGGUCUAUUAUUGACGCUGAGGCUCGAAAGCAUGGGUAGCAAACAGGAUUAGAUACCCUGGUAGUCCAUGCCGUAAACGAUGAGUGCUAGGUGUUGGGGGGCUUCCACCCCUCGGUGCCGGCGUUAACGCAUUAAGCACUCCGCCUGGGGAGUACGGCCGCAAGGCUUAAACUCAAAGGAAUUGACGGGGACCCGCACAAGCGGUGGAGCAUGUGGUUUAAUUCGAAGCAACGCGAAGAACCUUACCAGCUCUUGACAUCUUCUGCCAACUCUAGAGAUAGAGUGUUCCCUUCGGGGACAGAAUGACAGGUGGUGCAUGGUUGUCGUCAGCUCGUGUCGUGAGAUGUUGGGUUGAGUCCCGUAACGAGCGCAACCCUUGUUGUCAGUUGCCAGCAUUCAGUUGGGCACUCUGGCGAGACUGCCGGUGACAAACCGGAGGAAGGUGGGGAUGACGUCAAAUCAGCAUGCCCCUUAUGAGCUGGGCUACACACGUGCUACAAUGGAUGGUACAGCGAGUCGCUAAACCGCGAGGUCAAGCUAAUCUCCUAAAGCCAUUCUCAGUCCGGAUUGCAGGCUGCAACUCGCCUGCAUGAAGCCGGAAUCGCUAGUAAUCGUGGAUCAGAAUGCCACGGUGAAUACGUUCCCGNGGUCUUGUACACGCCGCCCGUC
rnacentral:rRNA from 1 species